AUGUACUUGUCGAUGAUGGUGCAGAGGGUGGUCUUCGGGACGGCGCCGAUGACGCUCUCCUUCUUCUCGCCGUCCUUGAACAUGAGCACGGUGGGGAUGCUCCGGAUGCCGUAG
rnacentral:rRNA from 1 species